rnacentral:lncRNA from 7 species
GAGGCAGGGAGGGAGCGGGGAGAAGAGGCGCUGGCUCGCCGCCUGCUCGCUUCUCGGUCCGGCGGCUCCGCGGCGCUGCCGGUGCAGCUCAGCCGGCGCCGGAGCGCAUGGGGAGGCGGCGCUGAGCGGGCUGCCCUCCGCGGGGCCGGCGGGCACGGGCAGCGGCGCCGCGGGAGAGCGAUGCCCCUCACUUUCCUGCCUGCGCUGCCCUUCCUCCUCCUCCUCUUCCUCUACCCUUUGAAGCUUUUGUUUUCCGCGGCCGCCUCGACGGCAGGAAACUUCCCGGAGGAAUGGGCUUCGUCCGGGCUCGCGCUGCGCGGGGCUCUGCAGGACGUCGGCCACGCUGCGAGAUGGAAGCACAGACAUGAAUUUAAGAGCUUCGAUGCAUUCAGGUGUUUAAUUCAGAUUUGGUAAAUGACAUGGAAUAAGAUACUGCCUGAACAAGCUGAAAUGCCUUGAAGACCUUUGGUUCUG